UAGUCCACGCCGUAAACGAUGUCUACUAGCCGUUGGGAGACUUGAUUUCUUAGUGGCGCAGCUAACGCACUAAGUAGACCGCCUGGGGAGUACGGCCGCAAGGUUAAAACUCAAAUGAAUUGACGGGGGCCCGCACAAGCGGUGGAGCAUGUGGUUUAAUUCGAUGCAACGCGAAGAACCUUACCAGGCCUUGACAUCCUGAGAAUUUGGUAGAGAUACCUUAGUGCCUUCGGGAACUCAGUGACAGGUGCUGCAUGGCUGUCGUCAGCUCGUGUUGUGAAAUGUUGGGUUAAGUCUCGCAACGAGCGCAACCCCUAUCUUUAGUUGCCAGCAUUAAGUUGGGCACUCUAGAGAGACUGCCGGGGUUAACCCGAGGAAGGUGGGAUGACGUCAAGUCCUCAUGGCCCUUAUACCCAGGGCUACACACGUGAUACAAUGGGCAGUACAGAGGGACGCAACCCCGAGAGGGUGAGCCAAUCUCAAAAAGCUGUUCUCAGUUCGGAUUGG
rnacentral:rRNA from 1 species